rnacentral:rRNA from 1 species
CAGUCGCCGCGGGAAUACAGAGGGUGCGAGCGUUAAUCGGAUUUACUGGGCGUAAAGCGUGCGUAGGCGGCUUCUUAAGUCGGAUGUGAAAUCCCUGAGCUUAACUUAGGAAUUGCAUUCGAUACUGGGAAGCUAGAGUAUGGGAGAGGAUGGUAGAAUUCCAGGUGUAGCGGUGAAAUGCGUAGAGAUCUGGAGGAAUACCGAUGGCGAAGGCAGCCAUCUGGCCUAAUACUGACGCUGAGGUACGAAAGCAUGGGGAGCAAACAGGAUUAGAUACCCCUGUAGUCCCUGCCUCUUAUAC